AUCUCCGCCGGCGAGUAGGGCCAGGUGUUGGGAGCUCCCACGUGGGACAAGAUGGUGUCUUCGGCACAGAUGGGCUUCAACCUGCAGGCUCUCCUGGAGCAGCUCAGCCAGGAUGAGUUGAGCAAGUUCAAGUAUCUGAUCACGACCUUCUCCCUGGCACACGAGCUCCAGAAGAUCCCCCACAAGGAGGUAGACAAGGCUGAUGGGAAGCAACUGGUAGAAAUCCUCACCACCCAUUGUGACAGCUACUGGGUGGAGAUGGCGAGCCUCCAGGUCUUUGAAAAGAUGCACCGAAUGGAUCUGUCUGAGAGAGCAAAGGAUGAAGUCAGAGAAGCAGCUUUGAAAUCCUUUAAUAAAAGGAAGCCUCUAUCAUUAGGCUGAAGUGCAGUGGAGCGAUCUUGGCUCACUGCAAUCUCCGCCUCCUGGGUUCAAGCAAUUCCCUUGCCUCAGCCUCGCAAGUAGCUGGGACUUACAGGGAUAACACGGAAAGAACGACCACCUCUAGACGUGGACGAAAUGCUGGAGCGCUUCAAAACAGAAGCACAAGCGUUUACAGAAACGAAAGGAAAUGUCAUCU
rnacentral:misc_RNA from 1 species